rnacentral:rRNA from 1 species
AGCGAACGCUGGCGGCAGGCCUAACACAUGCAAGUCGAACGGAUCCUUCGGGAUUAGUGGCGGACGGGUGAGUAACACGUGGGAACGUGCCCUUUGGUUCGGAACAACUCAGGGAAACUUGAGCUAAUACCGGGUGUGCCCUUCGGGGGAAAGAUUUAUCGCCAUUGGAGCGGCCCGCGUCUGAUUAGCUAGUUGGUGAGGUAAAGGCUCACCAAGGCGACGAUCAGUAGCUGGUCUGAGAGGAUGAUCAGCCACAUUGGGACUGAGACACGGCCCAAACUCCUACGGGAGGCAGCAGUGGGGAAUCUUGCGCAAUGGGCGAAAGCCUGACGCAGCCAUGCCGCGUGAAUGAUGAAGGUCUUAGGAUUGUAAAAUUCUUUCACCGGGGACGAUAAUGACGGUACCCGGAGAAGAAGCCCCGGCUAACUUCGUGCCAGCCGCCGCGAUAAGAC